GUGCUCGCUUCGGCAGCACAUAUACUAAAAUUGGAACGAUACAGAGAAGAUUAGCAUGGCCCCUGUGCAAGGAUGACAUGCAAAUCCACGAAGCGUUCCAUAUUAAA
rnacentral:snRNA from 1 species